rnacentral:snoRNA from 1 species
AUAAAUGUGAAGAGCAUUCCACGUAAUUACUUAGUGCACAAGUUAAGUGUGCUUGACUAUUCCGUAUAUAUAGGCAAAGAAAUGAAAAU